GGGGAAUAUUGCACAAUGGGCGCAAGCCUGAUGCAGCGACGCCGCGUGAGGGAUGACGGCCUUCGGGUUGUAAACCUCUUUCAGUAGGGAAGAAGCGAGAGUGACGGUACCUGCAGAAGAAGCGCCGGCUAACUACGUGCCAGCAGCCGCGGUAAUACGUAGGGCGCAAGCGUUAUCCGGAAUUAUUGGGCGUAAAGAGCUCGUAGGCGGUUUGUCGCGUCUGCCGUGAAAGUCCGGGGCUCAACUCCGGAUCUGCGGUGGGUACGGGCAGACUAGAGUGAUGUAGGGGAGACUGGAAUUCCUGGUGUAGCGGUGAAAUGCGCAGAUAUCAGGAGGAACACCGAUGGCGAAGGCAGGUCUCUGGGCAUUAACUGACGCUGAGGAGCGAAAGCAUGGGGAGCGAACAGGAUUAGAUACCCUGGUAGUCCAUGCCGUAAACGUUGGGCACUAGGUGUGGGGGACAUUCCACGUUUUCCGCGCCGUAGCUAACGCAUUAAGUGCCCCGCCUGGGGAGUACGGCCGCAAGGCUAAAACUCAAAGGAAUUGACGGGGGCCCGCACAAGCGGCGGAGCAUGCGGAUUAAUUCGAUGCAACGCGAAGAACCUUACCAAGGCUUGACAUGAACCGGACCGCCGCAGAAAUGUGGUUUCCCCUUUGGGGCUGGUUUACAGGUGGUGCAUGGUUGUCGUCAGCUCGUGUCGUGAGAUGUUGGGUUAAGUCCCGCAACGAGCGCAACCCUCGUUCUAUGUUGCCAGCACGUGAUGGUGGGGACUCAUAG
rnacentral:rRNA from 1 species